ACCCAAUAGAUACCCAGGUAGUCCACGCCCUAAACGAUGUCGACUGGUUGUUGGGGGUUUGACACUCUCAGUAAACGAAAGCUAAACGCGUGAAGUCGACCGCCUGGGGAGUACGGCCGCAAGGUUAAAACUCAAAGGAAUUGACGGGGACCCGCACAAGCGGUGGAUUAUGUGGAUUAAUUCGAUGCAACGCGAAAAACCUUACCUACCCUUGACAUGUCCUGAAUCCUGGAGAGAUCCGGGGGUGCCCGAAAGGGAACGGGAACACAGGUGCUGCAUGGCUGUCGUCAGCUCGUGUCGUGAGAUGUUGGGUUAAGUCCCGCAACGAGCGCAACCCUUGUCAUUAGUUGCUACAUUCAGUUGGGCACUCUAAUGAGACUGCCGGUGACAAACCGGAGGAAGGUGGGGAUGACGUCAAGUCCUCAUGGCCCUUAUGGGUAGGGCUUCACACGUAAUACAAUGGCGCGUACAGAGGGUUGCCAAGCCGCGAGGUGGAGCCAAUCCCAGAAAGCGCGUCGUAGUCCGGAUCGCAGUCUGCAACUCGACUGC
rnacentral:rRNA from 1 species